GGUUUUCCUGUGGUGAAGUAGAGGAGGACCAAAACGCAGCGUGGUUAUAUUGACUCAUGUUUAAUCAAAAACGGAUAAACAUGAACACUACAAAACAAUGAACGUGGAAAACCAAAAACAGCCCUAUCUGGUGCAACACACAGAGACAGGAACAAUCACCCACAAAACCCAACACAAAACAGGCUACCUAAAUAUGGUUCCCAAUCAGAGACAAUGACUAACACCUGCCUCUGAUUGAGAACCAUAUCAGGCCAAACAUAGAAAUAGACAAACCAGACACACAAAAUAGAAUGCCCACCCAGCUCACGUCCUGACCAACACUAAAACAAGGAAAACACAUACGAACGAUGGACAGAACAUGACACUUAGCAUGCAGUCAUUAUCAUGAAUCAAGUCGGCAAUCUACUGGCAAAUCCCUUUUAAUCCUUGUCAUAUGAAGAGAAAUUAUAGAUAAUAUAUCGGUGCUCAUCAGCUAUUGGACAUAAACAUUACACAACAAGUUUGAAAUCGCAUAUUCAACAUUGAGUGGUUUGGAAGGAAUCAAUGGCUCACUGCAAGCAUUGCAAAGCAAUCACUAGCCGACUAUUCAGUGGAGUGACUGUGUGGUCCUAAGUCUGGGUUUAAGGGUCUCCUUUGCAAACUUAAAAUGAUAAACAUUCAACAUUGGCCAUGCUGUCAAUCCAGCAUGAUUUCUGCAGUGCUCAAAACGACUCUUAAUUCAGAUCUGGGAAAUCUGACUUCGGUGAGUUGAAGACAACUGGGAACGGGGAAAAAAUAGCUCUGACUGGGAAGAUACGUUUUGAACGGUCAUCCAACUCAGAAUUGGGUGUCUUUCUAGAGCCACGACCUGAAGAUCACCGAUGUCAUCAUGAUUCCACAUUGUUUUUUUCAGUUGUCUUGAAAGCACCAUAUAUCCAGACAAUGCCAUUCUUUGUUGACAAAGUUUGAUGACAAAAUUUGCCCACAAAUGACUGCCGCGCCACCUUCCUGUUCAAGUGAGCACAGCACAACAAGCCUGAGCCUUAGUUGGUGACGGGUCUAAUUUGAAGCCUCGCACCAGCUACACCAUGAACUCCCCCAAGGUCAUUGUGUCCAAGUCCCACGCUGGGAAGGUGAAGGGUUUCAUCGAGGCCUUCGGGACCACAACAGUCAUCCUCCCAGCAGAGGGCGCAGGCUAUAAGGUGCUUGCUCUGCUGGACCCCAGUGAUGAGGACAUUGAGAAGGCAGACAUGUACAUCCUCGUGACCUUCAUCAAGAAGUGAGACAUCUGUGCCGGCAAUGGCCUGCUCACAGCCCUGGGAGGUCACAUGAUCACACUGAAGGGCGAGGAUAUAGCCUAUUCUGGAGUGACUGGCAACAAUGGUGGUCUGCUAGCCAGUGUCAAGGUGGACCACCAAGCCCUGGUGGCGAAACUGCCUGCAUGGGACUCUGCUGACAAACACUGAAAAACACACACAGAUAUUUAUACUCACUCCAUUAUGUUCAUACACAGAUGAUCAAGGACAAACAGACAAGAUGACCACAAGCUUUGAAGACCAAACAAACACAGAUGAGAGGACCGCACAAUCUGGGACAAGACAAUAUUACAAAGCCCACCAGUUUCUUCUUCAAACUCCUUUCACCAUUUAAAAAAAAAAGUAUUUGUAAAAAGAUAAGUCAGUCCUUGCAUUUUCUAUCAUAGAAAGUGCUAACAAGUUGGACAAGGAAAAGCCAUGUGCCCAGCUUCAGUUUGUUGCUAAGAGAUGGGUGCCUUUGAUUGGCAUGGAAACUUAGUCAAUGCCUGGUGUGGAAAGGAACAAAUGUGUUGGAACACUCUGUAGUUGUCGUUCUUCUUGACACCUGUGGGAUAUGAUUGCUGGUGAAGGUACAGGGAUGAAUGAAGAGCGUUUUCUUCAUAGAAGUCAUUUUCAUUGUAGCACAAUAACCUUGAUCCUGUGAGGUUUCUUCUUUUAGUUGCUCAUUCCUACAGAACAUUUACAUUAUGCUAGACAGGGUAACUAUGAGGGGAUCAUUUAUUUAACUAUAGCUUAACACAUGAUGCAGCGGUGGGAUUUGGGCUGCUACAAUGUGAAUGGAGUUUGAGGGUUGUUUUUAAAAGCAUGAUACUUCCUAAAUAUGCACAUUAGUUUUAGUGUACUACUGUGUGUGUAUGUAUGUGAAAGUGCAAUUUCCACUUAUUUUUUAUGAAUAGCAUGUGUGAAUUCACUAGGUACUGCAGCUUUCCUGACUCCUCCUCUGGGGCAAGGCUAUACAGUGUGUUACAUCUAUAUGUAGCUAGUGUAGUUGCUACAUUUGCAAAUAAGAAACCAUUCUGUUGCAAAUAAUCUUAUUAGUUAAACAUGCUAAUUUGUCAGCAACAGUUUUUUUUUAGAUGUUUGUUGAUGAUUUUUCCCAUAUACAGUAGGGAUGUUCAGAUUCACAAUAGACCAUUAAGACAUGGAUAUCCCUGCUCUAGCACUGUGAAUACUAAGGCUGGAUAUCAAACCGAGCACUCGGAUCGCACUUGAUCACUCCGGAGUCAAACGCUGAUUGUCGAGUCAUCGAGGGCUCCACUGCUCCCUUCGGAAGCCUCACUGUCAAGUAGUAAACCUGUUGCCGACUAGGUGGAAUUGGCAUGGGAUUCUUCCCAUGACUCUGUCACCUAGGAACCACUGUCAUUACUACUUUGCCCUCAAGAAUAGUCUGAAUAAGUCAACAUAAAUUGGAAAAAAAUCUGUAAUUUUGAAAUAUUGCUAAGUGGCAGUUGGGAUGUUGAGUGCGAAUCGUCUCAAUGCUCAUUUUGGCCAAAACACAUUUUUAUUGUCCAACUGUGCUUUCUCAAAAUUACUUUUUGUACAGCAUGAGCGUAUGUUGUAUGUCUGAACUGGCUGUGUAUGCUAAGCCUGUACAUAUAGCUGUUAUAAUGUGACUGUGUUUCUCCAACUUCCCUCUGUGUUUUAAAUGAAAUGGUGCUGUGCAUGAGAUCACUGACUGGGUUAUGACUACUUCCUACGUGAUCUAGAUCGUUUGAUGUGUGGUGUUACUACUGCUGCAUGCCCUCAUGGUUAUGUUGUACUGUUGAUGAGAAAUACAUGUUCAAAGCUAUCACUGUCUGUAAAUUUAACCCAUUGCUAUAAGUGCUGGUAAUGUUUUGAAAGGAGAAUGUAUUUUUGUGAAGGGAUAACAGCAGAAUAUUUUUAGUUUUUUACCAACAUGUCUUACAUUGAGUGGAACUACUGUGAAUAAAAACCCAGUGUAAAACCACUGAA